UCAGACGAUGAGAAUUCUUAUGACAUUAGCAAACCACAGUUACCUAGUUUAAUCUCUAAAUUUAUCAAAAUAGGAACACAGAACAGACCCCUUUAACUUCAAACCACACACCAUUGUUUAUAUAAAGACUUAUACAAAGAAGAAGAGGAAGAUAGAACAAAGACUUAGCUUUUAGAAGGGCGGUUGCUCCGUUCGGUCGAAGCUGAGCCGACGAUGGCAACGGCAAACACUUGCUGCUCCAUCGAACUCCGACAACAGCAGCGGAUCGGCGGGCCUUCACCUGCCGCCGGGAGGAGCAGCAGCAACGGUCCAAGGGGCAGCAGCGGCGCGGUGAGAGGCGUAGGCCUUCUUACUCCAGUCGCCGGAGGAGAGAAUCGCUGGAGGCAGCAAGCUUCUCCCCGCCACUCGCAGAUUGUGGAAAAACGACGGCAGAGGUCGGCUGAACGGGAAGCAUAGGGCUUCUUCCCAGCCGCGCUGAAAGG
rnacentral:lncRNA from 1 species